UACUGGGCGUAAAGCGCACGCAGGCGGUCUGUCAAGUCGGAUGUGAAAUCCCCGGGCUCAACCUGGGAACUGCAUUCGAAACUGGCAGGCUAGAGUCUUGUAGAGGGGGGUAGAAUUCCAGGUGUAGCGGUGAAAUGCGUAGAGAUCUGGAGGAAUACCGGUGGCGAAGGCGGCCCCCUGGACAAAGACUGACGCUCAGGUGCGAAAGCGUGGGGAGCAAACAGGAUUAGAUGCCCUGGUAGUCCACGCCGUAAACGAUGUCGAUUUGGAGGUUGUGCCCUUGAGGCGUGGCUUCCGGAGCUAACGCGUUAAAUCGACCGCCUGGGGAGUACGGCCGCAAGGUUAAAACUCAAAUGACUUGACGGGGGCCCGCACAAGCGGUGGAGCAUGUGGUUUAAUUCGAUGCAACGCGAAGAACCUUACCUGGUCUUGACAUCCACAGAACUUUCCAGAGAUGGAUUGGUGCCUUCGGGAACUGUGAGACAGGUGCUGCAUGGCUGUCGUCAGCUCGUGUUGUGAAAUGUUGGGUUAAGUCCCGCAACGAGCGCAACCCUUAUCCUUUGUUGCCAGCGGUUAGGCCGGGAACUCAAAGGAGACUGCCAGUGAUAAACUGGAGGAAGGUGGGGAUGACGUCAAGUCAUCAUGGCCCUUACGACCAGGGCUACACACGUGCUACAAUGGCAUAUACAAAGAGAAGCGACCUCGCGAGAGCAAGCGGACCUCAUAAAGUAUGUCGUAGUCCGGAUUGGAGUCUGCAACUCGACUCCAUGAAGUCGGAAUCGCUAGUAAUCGUAGAUCAGAAUGCUACGGUGAAUACGUUCCCGGGCCUUGUACACACCGCCCGUCACACCAUGGGAGUGGGUUGCAAAAGAAGUA
rnacentral:rRNA from 1 species